rnacentral:rRNA from 1 species
UUAGGAAUUUUGGGCAAUGGGCGAAAGCCUGACCCAGCAACGCCGCGUGGGUGACGAAGGCCUUCGGGUUGUAAAGCCUUUCUGAGGGAAGAUAGUGACGGUACCUCAGGAAUAAGCACCGGCUAACUACGUGCCAGCAGCCGCGGUAAUACGUAGGGUGCAAGCGUUGCCCGGAUUUAUUGGGCGUAAAGGGCGCGCAGGCGGCCGCGCACGUUCGUUGUGAAAUCGCCCGGGCUCAACUGGGCGGGGUCAGCGAAUACGGCGUGGCUUGAGCAAGCUAGGGGGCAAUGGAAUUCCCGGUGUAGUGGUGGAAUGCGUAGAUAUCGGGAGGAACACCAGUGGCGAAGGCGGUUGCCUGGAGCUUUGCUGACGCUGAGGCGCGAAAGCGUGGGGAGCGAUCCGGAUUAGAUACCCGGGUAGUCCACGCCGUAAACGAUGCGGACUAGGUGUCGGGGGUAUCGACCCCCUCGGCGCCGCAGCUAACGCAUUAGGUCCGCCGCCUGGGGACUACGGCCGCAAGGCUAAAACUCAAAUG